UACAGAGGUCUCAAGCGUUGUUCGGAUUCAUUGGGCGUAAAGGGUGCGUAGGUGGCGGGGUAAGUCAGGUGUGAAAUCUCGGGGCUCAACCCCGAAACUGCACUUGAUACUGCCUUGCUCGAGUACUGGAGAGGAGAUUGGAAUUUACGGUGUAGCAGUGAGAUGCGUAGAUAUCGUAAGGAAGACCAGUGGCGAAGGCGAAUCUCUGGACAGUUACUGACACUGAGGCACGAAGGCCAGGGGAGCAAACGGG
rnacentral:rRNA from 1 species